ACUCUAUUAGUUUAUAUCUUUAAAAUAUGACUUUGAAGCAGUUAAGAAUUAUUGAGUG
rnacentral:tRNA from 1 species